rnacentral:rRNA from 1 species
CGCAUCUGUGCAUGCAGCAUAUCAAUAAGCGGAGGAAAAGAAACUAACAAGGAUUCCCUUAGUAACGGCGAGUGAAGCGGGAAGAGCUCAAAUUUGAAAUCUUCAAGGUUUUACCUUGACGAAUUGUAGUUUAAAGAAGUGUUUUCUGUUGAAGUUUUGGUAAAAGUUCUUUGGAAUAGGACAUCAUAGAGGGUGAGAAUCCCGUAUUUGACCAUUAUUUUCAGCUGUGUGAUACACUUUCAAAGAGUCGGAUUGUUUGGGAAUGCAGUCCAAAAUGGGUGGUAAAUUUCAUCUAAAGCUAAAUAUUGGCGAGAGACCGAUAGCGAACAAGUACCGUGAGGGAAAGAUGAAAAGAACUUUGAAAAGAGAGUUAAACAGUACGUGAAAUUGUCAAAAGGGAAGCGUUUGACACCAGUGUUGUUUUCUCGAAAUCAAUUAAAAAGAGUUUGAUUUUGUUGUGUAUUGACCUUAACAGCUUGCAUUUCAAUUUUCUUGCUUUUUUUAAUGCACUUUUCGUUUAACAAGUCAACAUCAGUUUCUUUUGUUGUAAAAAGGUCAUUGGAAGGUGGCUUUCUUUUCGGAGAAAGUGUUUAUAGCCUUUGACUCCUGCAAUCGGAGAGACUGAGGUCUGCAGCGUAGAUCCUUCGGGGUUAGAUACAUUUGUGCUAAGUUAUAGCUUUUUAUAGACAACUUGUUGACUAUGAUUAGUCUUGUAGCUUACUCGCUUAUGCUAUUUUACCUACGCUUAGGAUGUUGAACUCUAUCACACACG